GUGCUUGCUUCAGCAGCACAUAUACUAAAAUUGGAAUGAUACAGAGAUUAGCAUGGUGUCUGUGCAAGGAUGACACGCGAAUUUGUGAAGCGUUCCAUAUUUAA
ensembl:snRNA U6 U6 spliceosomal RNA